rnacentral:SRP_RNA from 2 species
GCUGGGCGUGGUGGCACAUGCCUGUAAUCCUAGCUACUCGGGAGGCUGAGGCAGAAGAAUCGCUUGAACCUGGGAGGCGGAGGUUGCAGUGAGCUGAGAUCAUGCCACUGCACUCCAGCCUAGGUGACAGAGCGAGACUCUGUCUCAA